rnacentral:lncRNA from 1 species
UUUUAUAGUUGAAUAUCUUUGGCCCGUAUUGCAAAGGUAGACAACUGAUUGGUAUGAUCAUUGUUAUUACAUUUGAAUAUUUUAGCCUUUAGGGUAAGGAUAUUGAGUAAAUGUUCUAUUAAGCCUUUGUGGCAAGGAGAAACUGUUGAUUUACAUGAUUAUAAAUAUGAAUUGUGAAUUUAACUAAAAUCUUUGGUGGUUCAGG